rnacentral:rRNA from 1 species
UACGUAGGGUGCGAGCGUUGUCCGGAAUUAUUGGGCGUAAAGAGCUCGUAGGCGGUGUGUCACGUCGGCCGUGAAAACCUGCAGCUUAACUGUGGGCGUGCGGUCGAUACGGGCAUCACUGGAGUUCGGCAGGGGAGACUGGAAUUCCUGGUGUAGCGGUGAAAUGCGCAGAUAUCAGGAGGAACACCGGUGGCGAAGGCGGCUCUCUGGGCCUUACCUGACGCUGAGGAGCGAAAGCGUGGGUAGCGAACAGG